CUGGCCACUAAUGCUCAAGAAGUCUGUUCUUGAGAAACAGUCUUACACUUCUUGUAACAGAAGUGGCAGUCCAAGGGUCUGAGUCUCACAAGUGAAAGUAUGGCUUGCUGAAGAGCACAGCGGUCUUGUGGCCAGGAAAUGGUGUUUUUUCAUGGUGUGAAACACGUGGCUGAUAGCUCAGCUAAAAGAAAAUGGCUUUGCAUUGAGAGGGGCGUUGACACUCCAUGGUGGCGCUGUCUUACACAGUCUUCCUUUCUGGGAAAGCGCUUCUGUCCACUGGCCUGAAAGAUUAAGAAGGGAACCUCAUAUGCCUUUGUAAUCUGAAAGGUCCAGCUGAGAAGCUUUUAGAACCCUUCCCAUCCUCUUCAACCAGGAAUUCUGGUUGGAUACCAGGAAGGAGUAGUUUUCCAUCACUUUUCAAUUCUACCAAGGUUUAGAAAACCCUCUCUCUUUCACUGGUAAAUAUAUAAGUUCAACAGGA
rnacentral:lncRNA from 1 species